rnacentral:rRNA from 1 species
ACCCUACGGGAGGCAGCAGUGGGGAAUUUUACGCAAUGGGGGAAACCCUGACGUAGCGACACCGCGUGAGCGAAGAAGCCCUUUGGGGUGUAAAGCUCUGUCAGCUGGAACGAAAACAAUGACGGUACCAGCAGAGGAAGCAUCGGCUAACUACGUGCCAGCAGCCGCGGUAAGACGUAGGAUGCGAGCGUUGUCCGGAUUUAUUGGGCGUAAAGAGUUCGUAGGUGGUUUGUUAAGUUUGGUGUUAAAGAUCGGGGCUCAACCCUGGGACUGCACUGAAUACUGGCAGACUCGAGUGUGGUAGAGGCUAGUGGAAUUCCCAGUGUAGCGGUGUAAUGCGUAGAUAUUGGGAAGAACACCGGUGGCGUAGGCGACUAGCUGGGCCAUAACUGACGCUGAGGAACGAAAGCCAGGGGAGCGAAUGGGAUUAGAUACCCUUGUAGUCCCA